UACAGAGGGGGCAAGCGUUAUUCGGAAUUAUUGGGCGUAAAGGGCGCGUAGGCGGCUUGGCAAGUGGAAGGUGAAAUCCCUCGGCUUAACCGAGGAACUGCCCUCCAAACUGCUUCGCUUGAGACCGGGAGAGGUGAGUGGAAUUCCCAGUGUAGCGGUGAAAUGCGUAGAUAUUGGGAGGAACACCAGUGGCGAAGGCGGCUCACUGGACCGGUACUGACGCUGAUGCGCGAAAGCCAGGGGAGCGAACGGG
rnacentral:rRNA from 1 species